rnacentral:rRNA from 1 species
UACGAAGGGGGCUAGCGUUGCUCGGAAUUACUGGGCGUAAAGCGCGCGCAGGCGGUCCUUUAAGUCGGGGGUGAAAGCCCAGAGCUCAACUCUGGAACUGCCUUCGAAACUAGAGGACUUGGGUACGGGAGAGGUGAGUGGAAUUCCGAGUGUAGAGGUGAAAUUCGUAGAUAUUCGGAAGAACACCAGUGGCGAAGGCGGCUCACUGGCCCGUUACCGACGCUCAGGCGCGACAGCGUGGGGAGCAAACAGG